GAUGAAGAACGUAGCGAAAUGCGAUAAGUAGUGUGAAUUGCAGAAUUCAGUGAAUCACCGAAUCUUUGAACGCACAUUGCGCCCCUUGGUAUUCCAUGGGGCAUGCCUGUUCGAGCGUCAUUUGUACCUUCAAGCUCUGCUUGGUGUUGGGUGUUUGUCUCGCCUCUGCGUGUAGACUCGCCUCAAAACAAUUGGCAGCCGGCGUAUUGAUUUCGGAGCGCAGUACAUCUCGCGCUUUGCACUCAUAACGACGACGUCCAAAAGUACAUUUUUACACUCUUGACCUCGGAUCAGGUAGGGAUACCCGCUGAACUUAAGCAUAUCAAUAAGCGGAGGA
rnacentral:misc_RNA from 1 species